GUGAAAUUGUUGAAAGGGAAACGUUUGACACCAGUCAUGCGGGUGGGAAAUCAGUCAAUUGCAGUGGGGAGUGGUGAAGGUUCGGACCGCAAGGCCGGCCUGUGCCUCAUCUCCGCUGUAAGUGAUGCACUUUUCCAUCGGCAGGUCAACAUCAGUUUCUUCUGCUGGACAAAACUCCGAGAGAAGGUAGCAGCUUAGGCUGUGUUAUAGCUCUGGAGCGAUACAGUGGUGGGGACUGAGGGUUUCGCAGUGUGUGCUUUCGGGCAAGGCUGACCGGGUGCUAUGGGAUCGUUCAGUGUACAAUGCAUGCAUUUUGCGCUGUGUCUUUUCUAUACUCGCCUGGCUCGGCUCUUCCACACUUAGGAUGUUGACUUAAUGGUUUUAAACGACCCGUCUUGAAACACGGACCAAGGAGUCUAACAUAUAUGCAAGUGUUUGGGUGGCAAACCCAUACGCGUAAUGAAAGUGAACGUAGGUGCGAUCCGCAAGGUGCAGCAUCGACCGAUCUUGAUAUUUUUGGAUAGAUUUGAGUAAGAGCAUAUAUGCUGGACCCGAAAGAUGGUGAACUAUGCCUGAAUAGGGUGAAGCCAGAGGAAACUCUGGUGGAGGCUCGUAGCGAUUCUGACGUGCAAAUCGAUCGUCAAAUUUGGGUAUAGGGGCGAAAGA
rnacentral:rRNA from 1 species